AUUGAACGCUGGCGGCAUGCCUUACACAUGCAAGUCGAACGGCAGCACGGGAGCAAUCCUGGUGGCGAGUGGCGAACGGGUGAGUAAUAUAUCGGAACGUGCCCAAUAGUGGGGGAUAACUGCUCGAAAGAGCAGCUAAUACCGCAUACGACCUGAGGGUGAAAGGGGGGGAUCGCAAGACCUCUCGCUAUUGGAGCGGCCGAUAUCAGAUUAGCUAGUUGGUGGGGUAAAGGACUACCAAGGCAACGAUCUGUAGUUGGUCUGAGAGGACGACCAGCCACACUGGGACUGAGACACGGCCCAGACUCCUACGGGAGGCAGCAGUGGGGAAUUUUGGACAAUGGGCGCAAGCCUGAUCCAGCAAUGCCGCGUGCAGGAAGAAGGCCUUCGGGUUGUAAACUGCUUUUGUCAGGGAAGAAAUCCUCUAGGUUAAUACCCUUGGGGGGAUGACGGUACCUGAAGAAUAAGCACCGGCUAACUACGUGCCAGCCGCCGCGGUAAUAC
rnacentral:rRNA from 1 species